rnacentral:rRNA from 1 species
GACGAACGCUGGCGGCGUGCUUAACACAUGCAAGUCGAACGAAGAGCGAUGGAAGCUUGCUUCUAUCAAUCUUAGUGGCGAACGGGUGAGUAACGCGUAAUCAACCUGCCCUUCAGAGGGGGACAACAGUUGGAAACGACUGCUAAUACCGCAUACGAUCUAAUCUCGGCAUCGAGGAUAGAUGAAAGGUGGCCUCUACAUGUAAGCUAUCACUGAAGGAGGGGAUUGCGUCUGAUUAGCUAGUUGGAGGGGUAACGGCCCACCAAGGCGAUGAUCAGUAGCCGGUCUGAGAGGAUGAACGGCCACAUUGGGACUGAGACACGGCCCAGACUCCUACGGGAGGCAGCAGUGGGGAAUCUUCCGCAAGGGACGAAAGUCUGACGGAGCAACGCCGCGUGAGUGAUGACGGCCUUCGGGUUGGAAAGCUCUGUUAAUCGGGACGAAAGGCCUUCUUGCGAAUAGUGAGAAGGAUUGACGGUACCGGAAUAGAAAGCCACGGCUAACUACGUG